CAGCAGCCUAGACCCUUGGCAUUGGGGACUCUCCUUUCAUCCAAAGAGCCAUCUAUUUUUUCCUUCCCCAGUGGGUUUGCUGAGUUCCAAACCAGCAGCUGCCCUUUUCCUGGACUGUGGAGAGCGUGGCAAGUGUAAAUCUUACCACCGGCUAAAGCUCCUGACCUGAGGAGAAGGCUCAGCAUUAAUACUUCAGGAGCUUGUGAAAAGGAAACUCCACUGUAGAUUGGUGCUGGCAAGAAAACAGGGCUCCAUCUUCCUAUAGCUCCUGGAUGGAGGGCUCUCUUCUCAGGAGACCACAGCAAGAAAACUGCCAUCUGCAAGCCAAGAAGAGAACACUCACCAGAACCCAACCAGCUGGCAUACUGAUCUCAGACUUCCAAUGUCCAGAACUAUGCG